GCGCCAGUCUGCCGGUUUUUCGAUGAUGAGGG
rnacentral:scRNA from 1 species